CCUACGGGAGGCAGCAGUAGGGAAUAUUGCUCAAUGGGGGAAACCCUGAAGCAGCAACGCCGCGUGGAGGAUGAAGGUUUUCGGAUUGUAAACUCCUUUUGUUAGAGAAGAUAAUGACGGUAUCUAACGAAUAAGCCCCGGCUAACUCCGUGCCAGCAGCCGCGGUAAUACGGAGGGUGCAAGCGUUACUCGGAAUCACUGGGCGUAAAGAGCGCGUAGGUGGGAUAGGAAGUCAGAUGUGAAAUCCUAUGGCUUAACCAUAGAACUGCAUUUGAAACUGUUAUUCUAGAGUAUGGGAGAGGUAGGUAGAAGUCCUGGUGUAGGGGUAAAAUGCGUAGAGAUCAAGAGGAAUACUCAUUGCGAAGGCGACCUGCUAGAACAUAACUGACGCUGAUGCGCGAAAGCGUGGGGAGCAAACAGGAUUAGAUACCCGGGUAGUC
rnacentral:rRNA from 1 species